rnacentral:rRNA from 1 species
UGUGCCCUUGAGGCGUGGCUACCGGAGCUAACGCGUUAAGUCGACCGCCUGGGGAGUACGGCCGCAAGGUUAAAACUCAAAUGAAUUGACGGGGGCCCGCACAAGCGGUGGAGCAUGUGGUUUAAUUCGAUGCAACGCGAAGAACCUUACCUGGUCUUGACAUCCACAGAACUUUCCAGAGAUGGAUUGGUGCCUUCGGGAACUGUGAGACAGGUGCUGCAUGGCUGUCGUCAGCUCGUGUUGUGAAAUGUUGGGUUAAGUCCCGCAACGAGCGCAACCCUUAUCUUUUGUUGCCAGCGGUCCGGCCGGGAACUCAAAGGAGACUGCCAGUGAUAAACUGGAGGAAGGUGGGGAUGACGUCAAGUCAUCAUGGCCCUUACGACCAGGGCUACACACGUGCUACAAUGGCGCAUACAAAGAGAAGCGACCUCGCGAGAGCAAGCGGACCUCAUAAAGUGCGUCGUAGUCCGGAUUGGAGUCUGCAACUCGACUCCAUGAAGUCGGAAUCGCUAGUAAUCGUGGAUCAGAAUGCCACGGUGAAUACGUUCCCGGGCCUUGUACACACCGCCCGUCACACCAUGGGAGUGGGUUGCAAAAGAAGUAGGUAGCUUAACCUUCGGGAGGGCGCUUACCACUUUGUGAUUCAUGACUGGGGUGAAGUCGUAACAAGGUAACCA